AUGAACGCUGGCGGCGUGCCUAAUACAUGCCAGUCGAGCGAACAGACGAGGAGCUUGCUCCUCUGACGUUAGCGGCGGCCGGGUGAGUAACACGUGGAUAACCUACCUAUAAGACUGGGAUAACUUCGGGAAACCGGAGCUAAUACCGGAUAAUAUAUUGAACCGCAUGGUUCAAUAGUGAAAGACGGUUUUGCUGUCACUUAUAGAUGGAUCCGCGCCGCAUUAGCUAGUUGGUAAGGUAACGGCUUACCAAGGCAACGAUGCGUAGCCGACCUGAGAGGGUGAUCGGCCACACUGGAACUGAGACACGGUCCAGACUCCUACGGGAGGCAGCAGUAGGGAAUCUUCCGCAAUGGGCGAAAGCUUGACGGAGCAACGCCGCGUGAGUGAUGAAGGUCUUCGGAUCGUAAAACUCUGUUAUUAGGGAAGAACAAAUGUGUAAGUAACUAUGCACGUCUUGACGGUACCUAAUCAGAAAGCCACGGCUAACUACGUG
rnacentral:rRNA from 1 species